rnacentral:rRNA from 1 species
UACGUAGGGUGCGAGCGUUAAUCGGAAUUACUGGGCGUAAAGCGUGCGCAGGCGGUUCGUUGUGUCGGUGGUGAAAUCCCCGGGCUUAACCUGGGAAUGGCCAUGGAAACUGGCGAACUGGAGUGCGGCAGAGGGGGGUGGAAUUCCGCGUGUAGCAGUGAAAUGCGUAGAGAUGCGGAGGAACACCGAUGGCGAAGGACAGCCCCCUGGGCUAGCACUGACGCUCAGGCACGAAAGCGUGGGGAGCAACAGG